GUAAUACUCCCUCCGUCCGAAAAUACUUGUCAUCAAAAUGAAUAAAAGGAGAUGUAUCUAGACGUAUUCUAGUUCUAGAUACAUCCCUUUUUAUCCAUUUCGAUGACAAGUAUUGUCGGACGGAGGGAGUAUGUG
rnacentral:pre_miRNA from 1 species